GAGGCGCAAUGGGCACAGAGCUGCUGGCUCUCUAUAUUCAGCGGCUCAGAGGCGCUCUGACACCAUUCACUCCAGAGUCCUACACGUCCAAGGACCUGCGCGCAGACACGCUCUGAACAGCCCCUCACGGACUCCUUUCUCCAUUGGAGAUUAGGGCAUCUUUUGGAUUAUUUUUCAUUCAAGACUUUCAGAACAGAGAAAAAACAGUGCGCUUUCACUUGUCCUCAGAGACAAGCAGCUGUUUUUGUUAUGUGUGGUUUCUCGGUCAAAGUGUGAAGUCAUUUUUUUUUUUUUUUUUUUUUUGCUAAGGUGAAAGACAAGUGCAAUGUGCGCUAGACUUGUUUAUUGGAUUUGCCUCACGCGUGCGUAAGGAAGGUAUAUGCUGUGCUGGAGCGCAGGGCUUUUUCAAGAGGACGCAGCUCAAUGUGAAUAAAAAGAAGACUGCUAAGCCCGAGAGUUUCGAACAAGUACAAGCAGCGCGUCUGGCCGACCUGCUCUGACUACACCGUUUCCCUCCCUGAGGGGAUGGUUGUGGAUCCUCUGGAGCCAGGAGCGACUCAGGGGCUCCUACGCGGCAGCACAUUUUUCGUGUUUGAGGGAGACUUUACAGUAAAAGGAGAUGAGAGCCACAAUUUGCUGCUUCCUGCUGUGGACGACGUACCUGCUGGCCACUGCUGAGAAGGAAGUGGAGUUUCCACAGGAGCUGAUCGAUCGACUCUCCAACAGUGAAAUCCACAGCAUCAGCGACCUCCAGCGGUUACUGGAGAUUGACUCCAUAGGUACGGGAAACGAUGUUGUUGAGGAGCACAAGCACCACAAGCACCACAACCACCAUAAGAACUCGUCCCAUCAUCAUGGUUACUACAAUGAACUGAAAAGCUCCCAGUUGCACAGCCGACGCAAGAGGAGCAUUGUCGAAGAGGCCGUCCCGGCAGCAUGCAAGACGCGGACGGUGAUCUACGAGAUCCCCCGGAGCCAGGUGGAUCCCACAUCUGCCAACUUCCUGAUAUGGCCACCCUGUGUGGAGGUGAAGCGCUGCACAGGAUGCUGCAACACCAGUAACAUGCGCUGUCACCCUUCACGCAAGCACCACCGCACCGUUAAGGUAGCCAAAGUGGAGUACGUGAGGAGGAGACCCAAGCUGAAGGAGGUCUUUGUGAGGUUAGAGGACCACCUGGAGUGUGUGUGUACAUCACAACAUCAUGUGGUAGAACACUUAGAUGCAGAAACAGGCCAUCGUAGGGUUAAAGGUAAAAAAAGGAAACCUAAAAAGCUAAGGCCCACCAAGGACUUAUUGGUGACAUAAUAAAGGUGCUCUUAUUACCCAAAGUCCACUGCAAGGCUGUGACAGGACACAGCAGAUGUGAGGUGAAACCUCCCAGACUAAGGGGCAGCAUCACGGGAUGGACCUAAACCAGAAGAGGACACCAUCUUCUUUGUCUCUCCACCCACCAUGCAAACAUUGUUUAAGGAAAAUAUACUUUCUCCAAAAAGUCUUGAGACUGAAAAAUAGACAACAGACUAAAAUACAGAAUGCCAAAGGUGCUUUCAAAACUAGUAAUGAUGAGGGCAACUGAACUGUGCUGCUGAUUACGAAGUAAAAAAGAAGAUGCCAUGAAGCUCAGACUUCAAGAGGAUGGAAGGAAUUUGGGAUGAACAAUUCAAAAGACACGCAAAAUGGAAAAUAGACUGUGGGAUCAGACUUUUUUUUGUGAAUCCAGUGCUAUAACUCAAAGUGCCCUGUUUGUAUAGAAAAACUGUUGCAUUCAUAAGAAGAAAGCAAAAGGAAGAUGGGAAUAAAGAUGCAAAGAAACAGUUUGGGAGUGUUCAUUUUGCAGGACUAUAAGAGGCAGCAAACAUUGAAACUGGUGGACAAUUUGUUCUAAUUAAGGAAGAAACAGCCACAGAGACUUCCGGUUUUGAAAUUGCCUUACCUACUAUGUACAUAUAAAUCUAAAAAAAAAAAAAACAGAGGAUGCGCCGCUGCUUACAAACUAUUUAUGCGUGUGGACAUUUGCUUUUGUCACUUUCAAUCUUCAAGAAAGGACAAAAAAAAUAUGUUUUAUUAAUUUUCGCAGACAUACUGAUAUGUUUGGUCCAGUCCUUUGCUUUCACCAGUAUCACAAUCUCAGUGUCAUUUUUGUUUUUUAGCAGUUUUUUUUCCAUCGUCAACCAUGUUUCGUAUUAUAUUACAGUAUAUCUGAUUGAUGUCAAGUCUUGCAUAAGGUUCAGAUGUAUGUGUGCAAGGAGGAGUCAGUAAAGGAAGAUGUUUUAUUUUUGUUAUGAAAUAUAUUAUGCAUACUUAUAUCCAAGCAGGAAUUAUGUUUUCUUUAUUUUCUUUUGAAAAUGCAAAUAAUUUUAGCAGAUGGUCAAAUUGGUAAGGUUGAAAUCUGUUUGCAUCACUGUUGUGCAAAGGGUAUAAAAAAGGAGAAUCAAUAGCUAGUGGUGGUUUACAUUUCCUUAUGCUGCAGUCAUGCUCCUUUUUUGAGACAAACAAACAAGCGGAUAUCACAAUAUGUCGAUGACAAUCUCAUAACUAUACCAGAAAAAGCACCACAGUGUGCAGAUCUAAGUAAGCAUGUAGUUGGAGCUGGGUCUGAAAAUGCUACAGGUUAGUGAGCUGAAUCCAAAUUACAGACAUUUUUGUGUGACAGCCAUGUCAGAAGUGAAAGAAAAUUUUAUGUGCACUUGUGUUGAAUUAAAGAUACAUUCCUUGUUUUGAGUAAGGAUGCCUGUAGAUCAAAAAUCUGUUAAUGGAUGCUAAAAACUUGUAAAUGCAGCAGAGACUCACUAUCCAGCAGAAAUAUAACCAGAGCUACCGUAGGAUGGAAUGGUUUUGAUCAAAACACAUUUAUGUGCUGAAAUGGCCCAAACAAAGUAAAGAAUCCAGUUAAGAAUCCUUGACUAAACUAGAAUACUGACUUUCUUGUUAGUUUCCAGUGAUCUGUACUUCUAAAUGUGUAAAAAAAAACAAUAACAUGAAAUUAUACCAUAACAUUGGUCUUAUUAUGGUAUGCAAAAUGUAUCUAAAUUAACAGGAAAAUUUGGUUAGAGGUAUUUUAUGUCCAUAUCAUGAAGCACAACUAUAUAAGUCACUGAAGUCCUUUUUCUUUUCUUUUUUUACACAUAUUUUUAGUGAUUGUUUUUUGCAAACUGAAAAUCCCUGUCUACAAAUAAAUUAAAGGUUAAAUUAA